rnacentral:misc_RNA from 1 species
GAGGGAGGGAGGGAGGGAGGGAAGGAAUAGCUAAAAUAUGAGACUGUGACUUGGUUGUUAGUUGAUCCACCUAGAUGACCCAAAAUUAACUACCUUUCUUAGCGCGCGCACAGAGAUAUUGAGAGGGGAUAUAGCUACACCAUAUAUAAGGGACGUUCUGUUAGUUAGGAUCAUCAGGGAUGUUCUGAUAUUUGAAACAAGCAAUUCCUAAUCAUUUACUGUAAAGAACUCCCAAAACCCAGAAAUUAUAUGUUCCAAAAAAUAAUUGAAAAGAGAAAAGUAUAAUCAACUGCAGGCUUUUUU